GGUGAUGUCGUGGAACUACUUGUAAGCAUAUGAGAUCGUCUUCUGAGCAAUCGUGCGGCUGACCCUGAAAAAAUAAGAACAUAAUCUUUAGUUACAAGAAGUAUACAUGUGUUAGCGUCUGCGUACUAUACUAAUUCUAUAAAAUACAAAACUUACCCGGGCCUUAUUGCUCUCCACUCCGUCUUGAAGGCUUUCCACUUGAUGUGGUCCACCUCGCUAAAUAAAUUCGGGUGCGUUCCGUCGACGAACCUUCUCCUCUUCGCCUCUGCGGUAAAGGAAGAAACGACAUACUGUGAUGGCACCCUCGGCUUCUUGCAGACCACCCGCUCUGGCACGUCAACAGCACGCGUCCUCUC
rnacentral:lncRNA from 1 species